UCAGUAUAGUACCACAUUUAUCCAUGGAGCUAGAGAAACAUUGAAAAAAGAAAGCACAGAUCAACUGAACUUCCCUCCUAGAAAGAAGACACCUUUAUGCCAAACAGCAAUAAAAGAACAGAGAGAAGAUUGGGACCCAUCACACAGAGAGCAUCUUUUAUGUAUGGGGAAGAUGGGGCUGGAGCUUCCUUUGUCUUCAUUUUCAUUGUGUAGACAGUUGGAUCAAUGAAGUUCUCACUGUCACUGUGUUGCCUUACACAGUACAGAGAAGAAAUAGAAGUCCUACUGGGACACAAUCAGAGAAACAACAAUAAUUUCAAGAGGCAAGCAAUGAAUCAGAAUCUCAGAAAAGCUUCAACUACUGUCCAGAGUUUCUGCUGAUCCUUCCUGAAAUGGAUGCGAGAGCAUGCUGUAGGGUGAUGGAAGUCACGAAGCAGUAUUGCAGGAGAAAGUUGAAGCUAUUUCCUUAUUUCCUAAUUAGAAGAACUCUUUGGGAAAUGUGGGGCAAUUUUAAGAUACCUCUCUUACAAACCAUCAUUGUCAUGGUAAACAAAUCAGCAUGAGAACGCAUGCUUGUCAGAAUCAAUGCA